GAGGAAUAUUGGUCAAUGGGCGAGAGCCUGAACCAGCCAAGUCGCGUGAAGGAAGACAGUUCUAUGGAUUGUAAACUUCUUUUUAAGGGGAGUAAAACGGGGGAUGUAUCCCCCCUUGCAAGUACCCUUAGAAUAAGCAUCGGCUAACUCCGUGCCAGCAGCCGCGGUAAUACGGAGGAUGCGAGCGUUAUCCGGAUUUAUUGGGUUUAAAGGGUGCGUAGGCGGUAGAUUAAGUCAGCGGUGAAAGUUUGAGGCUCAACCUUAAAAUUGCCGUUGAAACUGGUUUACUUGAGUAUAGAUGAAGUAGGCGGAACUCGUGGUGUAGCGGUGAAAUGCAUAGAUAUCACGAAGAACUCCGAUUGCGCAGGCAGCUUACUAAUGUAUAACUGACGCUGAUGCACGAAAGCGUGGGUAUCAAACA
rnacentral:rRNA from 1 species